rnacentral:rRNA from 1 species
UACGUAGGUGGCAAGCGUUGUCCGGAAUUAUUGGGCGUAAAGCGCGCGCAGGCGGUCCUUUAAGUCUGAUGUGAAAGCCCACGGCUCAACCGUGGAGGGUCAUUGGAAACUGGGGGACUUGAGUGCAGAAGAGGAAAGCGGAAUUCCACGUGUAGCGGUGAAAUGCGUAGAGAUGUGGAGGAACACAGUGGCGAAGGCGGCUUUCUGGUCUGUAACUGACGCUGAGGCGCGAAAGCGUGGGGAGCAAACAGG